GUACACGUGUGUGUAUACACGCAUAUACACUUAUGGGGAAAUUGGAAUCGCGUGAAAAAUGCUCGUUUCAUACGUGGCCAGAAAAUAUAUCGCCAUCCUUUUUCUUACGCAGUAAAUUGUAAUAGUGAAAAAGCCAAUGAAGAGAUACUUAAUUUGAGACUAUUAACCAAAGUGAAUUGGGACUACCAAUUAUGAAACUACUGAAAUUAAUAGACGUUGGAAUUAGUUUUAAACAGUUGGCCUUGACAACGGUACAUUAUUCAAUACGCAGUAAGUAAGCAAUCGACGUUUUUACUGCACUGUGUUCAGAUUUAUAUUGUCAAUUUCAAGCCGGAAAUGUUUAACAAACGUUCAGUUGCACGAAGAAAUUACACAAAGAGGAAAUUUCUUUGGAUAUGAAAAUGAAAAUUACACCGGCUCUAUUUUCAUUCCACGUAAAUGGAGGGAUGGGUGUGCGCACGUGUGUAAUUCCGCGGUGGUUUGGAAUAUUUGGAAAUUAUAUUGGAAAUGGUUAUAUCGUCGAAUAGUAUUUACAUAUGUAUGUAUGUAUGUACGUAUGUAUAAUAUCGCGUACAACAUAUUCACCGUCGGGGGCUUGAACGCGUAAACGUCCUUCGGCGUGAGGAUCAACCGUUUCGAGAUCAAGUCGACGUAUUCCUGUAGAAUUUCGGACGGCGGGAUCGCGUCGUGCUUCGCGUAGAAUUUGCCGGUCAGAGGUUUUGUGCGCGCGGUCGCGACGAACUCCUCCCGAAGCCGAAAGUGCCUCUUCUCCUUUUCGUAUCUUUCGGUGUAAAAUCGCAGUUUCACGGGAUUCAUGGCCGCUCGAUACUGGGAAUUUUUUCGCAACUUUUUUUUUCACGGAAGAUUGAGUAGAAAUGCGACGAGACGAGAGACGAACAAACGAACAACGUGACGCACAGUGCGGUGUUUGACAGUGAGCGGGCAAACGACGCUCGUUUCGAGUAGCAUGGUUUAUUUUAAAAUACGAAUAGAAAACGCAUACAUAACAAGCGGAAGACGGUGGUUAAUCAGUCAGAGAUUCACAGCGAGUGCUCGAGACGUUUUCGAGGGGAGAACGAAACUUCCGAGAAUAUAUGAUGCGUAUUACAGAGGAAAGGUGGUAACGUCUGCUCGAUACGCAAUCGAUAGUUGAAAAUACCGGUUUUCGCUCGUUUCGUUACUUUGUGCCUGUACAGUGUCGACGAUUUCUCGCCAGUUAACAACUAGAGCAGGGGUGGUCAACCGUGGCGCAUAAAGCAAGUUAUUUAGAGUAAGUAUUAAAGUAAGAUUAUUAUUUAUUAGAGUAGGUUAUUUUGUGUUUUCUCUAUUUGCAAACACGUUUUUACUAUUUAUAAACACGUUUUCGUUGUUAAGAUAAUUUAGUGGCGCAUCGAAGCUCACUUGAGAAAACAAUUGGCACGUGGGAGGUACAAGAGUUUGGCCACCCCUGAGCCAGAGUAUCUAGUCCAACAGUUAAAUACACUGCGAAGGCCCAGCAUUUGAAAGUAUUUAAAACAUGAUGCACUUGCAACGGAAAUCAUUCCGGGACUAGAUGUUUUUGAAUUUCUACACGGGGUACGUAUAUGGAUUGUGUUUGCUAAUUUAAACCUGCCACAAAGUUGAAUUUCAACGUAGACAUCCAGUCGUCCAGAACCAUAAAGUCGCUGUUAGCACGCGCGCCUCCGCAGUGUUAAAUAAUUGAGAAACAUUUUCAAAGAGAACUAUUGUAGAUUGUGACCUAUGAUCCCUUCGUGGGAGAGUAGAAUAUAAUGCAAGAAAAGAAUUUUAACCUUGAAAUUCAAGGUCAAGGUCGAAGGUGUAGAAUUCAUCUAUGAUCUGUUCAUGGACAAAAUUUUUCUUUCCGCCGUGUACAUAUAGAAAUUUAAAUAUAUCCGUUAUCCUGCAGUUCCUGUGCCCAUUUCCAUUGCAAAUACAUAGUUUUAUAUACAUUAUUUGUGGGCCAGUGUACGUACUUACGUGUAUGCAUCCCGCGUUAAUAACAAUCAUGUCCAAUCAGUGCGACGAUUCAAUCGUAAUGCAAAACUUUUACAAAAUCGAUCGCCGGUAACGCGCAUUUCGAGAAACUGUGAGACGGGAGAGACAAAGAGAGGAGAGAAAGAAAACGAACAACGCGAUAAAUUACAAGACUGAAUUAUACGAACACGCACCAAGCUGAGAGAGACGCACGUCGGAUUUCUCGAUUUCGGUCGCAAUUCGAUAUUUCCAAGGCACACUUUUUAUACAACGUAGCCAUAAAUAUGAAAGUGACGAUGACGAUGACGACAGUAACGAUAACGACGACGAUAAUAGUAACGACAGCAAUGACAAUUGUCGCGAUAGUAGUGUGAUAGUAAUAGUAAUAACAAUAGUGGUAACGCUAGAAAACAACAAUUACAAUAGCGCAUUCGAAACGGCAAUUGUGACAAUUGUGAACGCGCGACAUAACGAUCGUUUUACGGCAAAGCAGAGAGGCCAACAAAAAGGAGAGAAACUGA